AUUGAACGCUGGCGGAAUGCUUUACACAUGCAAGUCGAACGGCAGCACGGACUUCGGUCUGGUGGCGAGUGGCGAACGGGUGAGUAAUGUAUCGGAACGUGCCCAGUCGUGGGGGAUAACGUAGUGAAAAUUACGCUAAUACCGCAUACGAUCUAUGGAUGAAAGCGGGGGAUCGCAAGACCUCGCGCGAUUGGAGCGGCCGAUAUCAGAUUAGGUAGUUGGUGGGGUAAAGGCCCACCAAGCCAACGAUCUGUAGCUGGUAUGAGAGGACGACCAGCCACACUGGAACUGAGACACGGUCCGGACUCCUACGGGAGGCAGCAGUGGGGAAUUUUGGACAAUGGGCGAAAGCCUGAUCCAGCCAUUCCGCGUGCAGGAUGAAGGCCCUCGGGUUGUAAACUGCUUUUGUACAGAACGAAAAGGUUUCUACUAAUACUAGGAGCUCAUGACGGUACUGUAAGAAUAAGCACCGGCUAACUACGUGCCAGCCGCCGCGGUAA
rnacentral:rRNA from 1 species